rnacentral:lncRNA from 1 species
CGUGAAAAGUUCACGAUAAAGUUCACGAUAAAAUUCACGAUUUCGUAUAUUUUAUCGUGAACUUUAUCUUAAACUUUUUUCUCCUGGCUUGGGCGCUUCGUAAACAAAACCAGCCCUAGCUUGAUUGAAUGAAGACGAUUAAAUAUUAUGACGAGACGUUUUUACGAUGAUUUCUGUGAAAAUGGAACUACUGACUACAAGCAUGAAAUAGAUGUGACGCAAUUGGAUUUAAUUGAUCAACAGUACUGUUUGGCAAUGGGAGAAAGUGGUAACGGGAGGACCUUUGCUUAUUUGUUCCUCCUCGAUUUGGCACCAUUCAGUAUCCAGUGAUAUUUCUUUUGUAUUGUGUUGUUUCGGCAAUAUAUCAAUAAAGCAACAGUUUGACUGACUUGCCUGCAUCAUCACUUUUGUGCUGAAAACCUUAUUUUGGUUGUUUGAAAGUCGCCAUUUUCCUUUUUUAUCCUCAACAUUGACCUUCCGUGUCUUCAUUCAUCAUCAGAACUCUACCUUUGACAUCGACCAUUCGUUUCUUUGUUCAUAAUCAUCAUGAUAACUUUACUUUCGCCAUCAUCGACAUCGUUUCUUUGUAUGAAGACCACGCCAUCUUUCUGUUUAACAGUAUACAAACCCCAGUUUGUAUAUUUACACCGUCGAUUUCCGUUCUUUGUUUGAAGAUCAGGAUUUACGCUUACCUUCCACAUCGUCAGAAACUUUGCUAUUCUUUUCCACAUCGUCUCUUCUUGUUUCUUCGACAUCGUCAGAAACUUCGGUCUUCUUUUCCACAUCGUCAAAUCUUGUUUCUUCGAGAUCAUCAAAAACUAUACCUUUGUCGUCAUCAACAGAAUAGACCCUAAUUGUUUCUUUGACAUCGUCGGUUCAUCAUCAUUGACAAUAACAUCAACGCAUUCGACAAGUUUGAUGAUAAUGUAGUGUAAUUUGAAAAGCGGCAGUCUUUCGCUUUAUAAAUAGACUACCUUAAUUGUUAACAUGUGACUGUUAUUGGAAUAUUUCCUGGCUAGAUUUUAGCACGGAUUUGAAUAAACGCUCAUGGUUUAAAUGAUA